AGGAUAAACGCUGGCGGCGUGCCUAAUACAUGCAAGUCGAGCGGUAAGGCCUCUUCGGAGGUACACGAGCGGCGGACGGCUGAGUAACACGUAGGAACGUACCCCAAAGUGAGGGAUAAGCACCAGAAAUGGUGUCUAAUACCGCAUGUGAUCUAAGGAGUAAAGCUUCGGCGCUUUGGGAACGGCCUGCGCAUGAUUAGCUUGUUGGUGAGGUAAAAGCUCACCAAGGCGACGAUCAUUAGCUGGUCUGAGAGGAUGAUCAGCCAGACUGGGACUGAGAACGGCCCAGACUCCUACGGGAGGCAGCAGUAGGGAAUUUUCCACAAUGGGC
rnacentral:rRNA from 1 species